CAGCCGCCACGGGAAUACGAAGGGUGCAAGCGUUACUCGGAAUUACUGGGCGUAAAGCGUGCGUAGGUGGUGGUUUAAGUCCGUUGUGAAAGCCCUGGGCUCAACCUGGGAAUUGCAGUGGAUACUGGGUCACUAGAGUGUGGUAGAGGAUAGUGGAAUUUCCGGUGUAGCAGUGAAAUGCGUAGAGAUCGGAAGGAACAUCUGUGGCGAAGGCGACUAUCUGGGCCAACACUGACACUGAGGCACGAAAGCGUGGGGAGCAAACAGGAUUAGAUACCCGCGUAGUCCCUGUCUCUUAUAA
rnacentral:rRNA from 1 species